AUUUAACAAGUUUUUUUUGAACAUAUAUUUCCUGCUACAACUAUUUAAAAAUGCGUGGUUUCUGUUUCUAAAGCCUCCCACACCUGUGAUUUAUGAAGGUCAAGUAGGCCUGCUGGCUUUAACCUCUUGCAUUGAGUUUACUCGCAUUGCUCAAAAAGACACUUAAAACCGUUCAUAUAACGAUGCUUAUUGUUGGUGGCUCAACAAUACAAGUUAUGAAAGCAAGUUUUGCUUACUAGCGUUGAACGUUAGGAGAAGUUCGUUCAUACAGCGACAUCCUGUAAAGGAAAUUUAAAUCCAGGGGAAACUUAGAAUUACCUGUAUCUUCAGUUCUAAUGAUUAUGUAACACAGUUAAACACUAGGCGUUAAUGUAUUCUGUUAUAAAAAUGUAUGCUUCAAAAAUAGCUACAUAAAAUGUUUAUGGUAUGCAAAGUAUGGGAAAAUGGAGUCAAUGGAUAUACUGAUAGUACUAAAAUAUUGUCGUAUGCCUAUUACUAAAGCUACCAAGUCAUGAGCUAGAACAAAAGCCUUCUUUUUGGAAUGGAAGCAUGAAAAAAGUGGCAUUGUCUUGCACUAAGGUAGCAUCUGGCUUUGUGUCAACAGCCUGAGAUAUCUGUGUUGGAUUUUUUGAGUCUGUCAUUGAACAUAUGUCUGUACACUCUAAUCUAGUGACCAGUGAACACUGAGACAUUGAAGAUAAAUCCACAAUUAAUUUAAUAAUCACCACAUCCACCAUCACCACAGUCAGUAUAGGUACAGAAGGGUUGAGGAGCUGAAAAUACAAAAAAAAAAAAAAGGAUAUGACACGGAAGAAUGACAUCAAUGUGUCCCAAUGGAUAUUCAACACAAAGGUUUAUAACUAUACACCAGUUUUAAGUGCUUCACUAUACACACUGGACAUCUCACACCGCAUCAUUUUACAGCCCAAGUUCAACAAUAACUGGAUAUUUACAAAUCUUAAAUCUACGAAACGCCUGCAGUAAUGACUACAUUCUAAACCUUGGAAAUUCCAAUUGUAAAUGUGUCGUGUGUAGUUGAGAAUGAUGCCUUGUGCUAUUCAAUACGUUACUAGGUGACAACUUCAGAGAGGGUGCAUGAAAUGAUCAUUUCAUGCACAAUGUGUCCUCCUUAAUGAAUUUCAGCAAUGGAAAUGCCAAAUGUAAAGAUUAAAGAUGACAAUUUUGCACGGAAGAAAUUUUUCUGCUUGUCAUGUCAGUGUCAGGUUCUUUUAAUAUCAAUAAGAGAGAGGGAAGGGAGGCAGAAAAAUGGAGAU